GGCUGAUUAUGAGUCUUAUGUGUUUGGGACUCUAUGAUUGAGAAUUAGGAUUCUCUGAUCAUGAGUUCUACACAUUUUGGGUACCGGGGUCAAAAUUUUGAAUUUCAAAUUUUGAAUUUGAAAUUUAAACUCUUCGAUCAAGGUUUCAUAUUGAUGGACUUUGAUACCCGAUUGCCCAUUGUAUUUGGACUCAAUAAUUAUGAGAGAUUUUAUUAGUGAUUUGAUC
rnacentral:lncRNA from 1 species